GACGAACGCUGGCGGCGUGCCUAAUACAUGCAAGUAGAACGCUGAAGAGAGGAGCUUGCUCUUCUUGGAUGAGUUGCGAACGGGUGAGUAACGCGUAGGUAACCUGCCUUGUAGCGGGGGAUAACUAUUGGAAAUGAUAGCUAAUACCGCAUAACAAUGGAUGACACAUGUCAUUUAUUUGAAAGGGGCAAUUGCUCCACUACAAGAUGGACCUGCGUUGUAUUAGCUAGUAGGUGAGGUAAUGGCUCACCUAGGCGACGAUACAUAGCCGACCUGAGAGGGUGAUCGGCCACACUGGGACUGAGACACGGCCCAGACUCCUACGGGAGGCAGCAGUAGGGAAUCUUCGGCAAUGGGGGCAACCCUGACCGAGCAACGCCGCGUGAGUGAAGAAGGUUUUCGGAUCGUAAAGCUCUGUUGUAAGUCAAGAACGGGUGUGGGAGUGGAAAGUUCACACUGUGACGGUAGCUUACCAGAAAGGGACGGCUAACUACGUG
rnacentral:rRNA from 1 species